rnacentral:misc_RNA from 1 species
GUGCAAUUUUUUUUUUUUUGUUCUCUUAUCAUUUUCCUUUUUCUCACCACAAAACAGCCCAAGAGGGUACAUUUCCAUGAGCUGCAUGAACGUAAGAUUCCCACUACUCNUUGUCAGCCGAAGAAGAAACAAACUCUCUGCCAUUAAUUUGGUCUUCUAAUUAAAAAUUCCAAACCAAGAAUAUAUCUAUGAACAUAAAUAUUUACACAACUAAUAAAUUAUAACAAAACCA